AUUGAACGCUGGCGGUAGGCCUAACACAUGCAAGUCGAGCGGCUGCAGAGUACUAGCUUCUUCUUUCGGGGGGGGACUGGUGAGCGGUGCCUAAAUAUAUCGCUGGUUGCGUGUUAUUACGUGCGGACGCGGGCAAACAUACCGUAAAACUCCUGACGGCCUACGUGUGAAAUCAUCGGACCUUCCGCUCUCACAUGAUCCAAGGUCGGAUUAGCUAGUUGGCGGGGUAAAGGCCUACCAAGGCGACGAUCCGUAACUGGUCUGAGAGGAUGAUCAGUCACACUGGAACUGAGACACGGUCCAGACUCCUACGGGAGGCAGCAGUGGGGAAUAUUGGACAAUGGGCGAAAGCCUGAUCCAGCCAUGCCGCGUGUGUGAAGAAGGCCUUCGGAUUGUAAAGCACUUUUAUUUGGGAAGAAGAGCAGUAAGUUAAUACCUCGCUGUUUUGACGGUACCAACAGAAUAAGCACCGGCUAACUUCGUG
rnacentral:rRNA from 1 species